rfam:Camelus ferus unplaced genomic scaffold scaffold107975, whole genome shotgun sequence.
GUCGUAUCUUGAAGAAUCAGUUUUCAAGUGCCUUCCUGCAGCUUCAGGGGAGAACAAGACAGAUU